rnacentral:rRNA from 1 species
CCUACGGGAGGCUGCAGUGGGGAAUAUUGCACAAUGGGCGCAAGCCUGAUGCAGCCAUGCCGCGUGUGUGAAGAAGGCCUUCGGGUUGUAAAGCACUUUCAGCGGGGAGGGAGGCGUUAAGGUUAAUAACCUUGUCGAUUGACGUUACCCGCAGAAGAAGCACCGGCUAACUCCGUGCCAGCAGCCGCGGUAAUACGGAGGGUGCAAGCGUUAAUCGGAAUUACUGGGCGUAAAGCGCACGCAGGCGGUCUGUCAAGUCGGAUGUGAAAUCCCCGGGCUCAACCUGGGAACUGCAUUCGAAACUGGCAGGCUAGAGUCUUGUAGAGGGGGGUAGAAUUCCAGGUGUAGCGGUGAAAUGCGUAGAGAUCUGGAGGAAUACCGGUGGCGAAGGCGGCCCCCUGGACAAAGACUGACGCUCAGGUGCGAAAGCGUGGGGAGCAAACAGGAUUAGAUACCCGAGUAGUC